UGAGGAAUAUUGGACAAUGGGGGCAACCCUGAUCCAGCCAUGCCGCGUGAGUGAUGACGGCCUUAGGGUUGUAAAGCUCUUUCAGUAGUGAAGAUAAUGACGGUAACUACAGAAGAAGCCCCGGCUAACUUCGUGCCAGCAGCCGCGGUAAUACGAAGGGGGCUAGCGUUGUUCGGAAUCACUGGGCGUAAAGCGCACGUAGGCGGACUUUUAAGUCAGGGGUGAAAUCCCGAGGCUCAACCUCGGAACUGCCUUUGAUACUGGAAGUCUUGAGUACGAGAGAGGUGAGUGGAAUACCGAGUGUAGAGGUGAAAUUCGUAGAUAUUCGGUGGAACACCAGUGGCGAAGGCGGCUCACUGGCUCGAUACUGACGCUGAGGUGCGAAAGCGUGGGGAGCAAACAGGAUUAGAUACCCCCGUAGUCC
rnacentral:rRNA from 1 species